GACGGGGGGGGCAAGUGUUCUUCGGAAUGACUGGGCGUAAAGGGCACGUAGGCGGUGAAUCGGGUUGAAAGUGAAAGUCGCCAAAAAGUGGCGGAAUGCUCUCGAAACCAAUUCACUUGAGUGAGACAGAGGAGAGUGGAAUUUCGUGUGUAGGGGUGAAAUCCGUAGAUAUCCGGAGGAACACCAGUGGCGAAGGCGACUUUCUGGCCUGUUCUUGACGCUGAGGCGCGAAAGCUAGGGGAGCAAACGGG
rnacentral:rRNA from 1 species